UACGAAGGGGGCUAGCGUUGCUCGGAAUCACUGGGCGUAAAGGGUGCGUAGGCGGGUCUUUUAAGUCAGGGGUGAAAUCCCCGGGCUCAACCCGGGAACUGCGUCCGAUACUGGCAGGCUUGAAUUCGGGAGAGGGAUGUGGAAUUCCAGGUGUAGCGGUGAAAUGCGUAGAUAUCUGGAGGAACACCGGUGGCGAAGGCGGCAUCCUGGACCGAUAUUGACGCUGAUGCGCGAAAGCCAGGGGAGCAAACGGG
rnacentral:rRNA from 1 species